rnacentral:rRNA from 1 species
UACGGAGGGGGCUAGCGUUGUUCGGAAUUACUGGGCGUAAAGCGCGCGUAGGCGGCUUUGUAAGUUAGAGGUGAAAGCCCGGAGCUCAACUCCGGAACUGCCUUUAAGACUGCAUCGCUAGAAUUGUGGAGAGGUGAGUGGAAUUCCGAGUGUAGAGGUGAAAUUCGUAGAUAUUCGGAGGAACACCAGUGGCGAAGGCGGCUCACUGGUCCAUUACUGACGCUGAGGUGCGAAAGCGUGGGGAGCAAACAGG